GACGAGAGGGGCGAGCGUUAUCCGGAAUAAUUGGGCGUAAAGGGUCCGUAGGUUGUAUUUUGUAUGCUUUUAGUAAAAGACAGAAACUUAAUUUCUGAAGUGCUUUAAGAACAGAUAUACUAGAGUUUAGCAGAGGAUAAUAGAAUUCCAUGUGGAGGGGUGGAAUCCUAAGAUAUAUGGAGGAAUGCCAGUAGCGAAAGCGAUUAUCUGGGCUAUUACUGACACUGAGGGACGAAAGCGUAGGUAGCAAACAGG
rnacentral:rRNA from 1 species